CAGCACAAAGCUGUGAAGGUGCUGGUCAGGGGUGGAAUGCAACUGAUGCUGUCACCAGACUCUAAUCCCAAUAUCUCCCAGAUAUUCCACAGAUACCACAUUCUAACCAGAAUAAUCUGCAUCAUCUAAAGGGUUUAUGAUAUGUGGCUGUGGGACUGGACCAAUAUGAGCCCACAGAAGCCUGCAUACUUGGAACCACUUGGUGGGAUCAAUGUCAUUAGGAGACACAACUAUAAAUGCUGUCAUUCAACCCAGCUUGAAUGAAUAACAAAGAACAUGCUCCAGGAGGAUAAAGAACAGAGCAUCUCCUUGGGCUGCACUCACCUUUAUUUUCCUGCCUGCCUUCCUGGAGGGCAGUGAGACGCAGGCCCAGAUCCUUCACACAGGGGAGCGAGAAGAGAGGGAGGAAGAGGCUGCCCAUCAACAUUGCCACCAUGGCAGCCUCCUGCCCCUGAGAAAGUGGAAAUGCCCAGGGAGAAGAAUCCAGAGAAAACACAAAAUGUUGUCUAGAAGCCGCAGCCUAGAUGCUAAAGAAGUGCUGUCUUCAACCCUGUAGAAACUGAUACUCCACCCGCUUGUUCUUUCUGCUUCUAGUCCUGUGACCCCAGGAACCAUCCUCUUUCCCUAGGACUAUCAGCCAGCAUCUCUCCUCUGUCGCCUCCAACCUGCCCUCUUCCCGCUCCACCGAGCACACCUGCAGGCAGGAGUGAGAAUCGUUGCUAUGUGGAGUGGGCAAGUGUCUUGACCACUGUCCUUCCCAUUUACAUCAUGCCUGUCCUAGGGGUAAUAACAAUACUCACCUCACUGGGUGUGCUGAAGGUUAAAUGAGAAAAUGUAUGCAUCCAGCACAGAAAGCAUAAUAUGUUUUCUUUUCUUUUCUCUCUCCUCCUCCUUUUUCAUUCUUUCCACAAUCUUUCCUUCCUUCCCCAAAAGUUACACUUUUCCAAGCUUAAAGCUCCAUCUUGGCAUCAACUGUAACCUGAAUGUAUGCCAUUCACAGCUGAUUUGCCGGGUGCUGUGCCACACAGUUCUGAACCCCAGUGAGGGAUCAAUCCACACCCAGUCCCCAGCUCUACCAGUCUCUGGAGCACUCUGCACUGCUCUCUCCAGCCCUACCUCAUGCACACGAAAGGGGGCUUGGCCAAGUUUAGCAUGUCAUCACUGGCAGCCACACUCUGACCUGCAGUAACUUCUGCACUGGUUGACAUUCACCGCUUUGAACAUAGAAACAAGAGGCUCCCUGUAGCUGCUGCCUUUUGUGGGCUUCGCCAUCGUCCUCCUGAGCAGGCUUCCACAUUAAGGACUCAGAAAUUUCUAACACUUUACAAGAGGGAGGAGUGAACAGCAAGUGGUUUGGAAAUCACAAAUUUGUAGGAGCUCAGCAAGUGCUACUUAGGUCUAAGGGACACAGGGCAGGUUUGGAUUAAGAAAUGACACCAGUUUGGGGCCGGGCGCAGUGGCUCACGCCUGUAAUCCCAGCACUUUGGGAGGCCGAGGCAGGCGGAUCAUGAGGUCAGGAGAUCGAGACCAUCCUGGCUAACAUGGUGAAACCCCAUCUCUACUAAAAAUACAAAAACAAAGUUAGCCAGGCAUGGUGGCAGGCACCUGUAUUCCCAGCUACUCUCAAGACUGAGGCAGGAGAAUGGCAUGAACCGGGGAGGCAGAGGUUGCAGUGAGCCGAGAUCGCACCACUGCGCUCCAGCCUGGGCGACAGAGAAAGACUCC
rnacentral:lncRNA from 1 species